rnacentral:rRNA from 1 species
UACAGAGGUCCCGAGCGUUGUUCGGAUUCACUGGGCGUAAAGGGUGCGUAGGUGGCGAGGUAAGUCGGAUGUGAAAGCCCGGGGCUCAACUCCGGAACUGCCUUUAAGACUGCAUCGCUAGAAUUGUGGAGAGGUGAGUGGAAUUCCGAGUGUAGAGGUGAAAUUCGUAGAUAUCGUUUGGAACGCCAAUGGUGAAAACAGGUAACUGGGAGUGUGCCGACGCUGAGACACGAAAGCCAGGGGAGCGAACGGG